rnacentral:rRNA from 1 species
CCAACAGGGAUGGCCCCAGUAACGGCGAGUGAAGCGGCCACAGCUCAAAUUUGAAAUCUGGCCUACGGCCCGAGUUGUAAUUUGCAGAGGACGCCUCGGGUGCGGCGCCGUCCAAGUCCCCUGGAACGGGGCGCCGGAGAGGGUGAGAGCCCCGUACGGUCGGACGCCUAGCCUGUGUGAGGCUCCUUCGACGAGUCGAGUAGUUUGGGAAUGCUGCUCAAAAUGGGAGGUAGACCCCUUCUAAAGCUAAAUACCGGCCAGAGACCGAUAGCGCACAAGUAGAGUGAUCGAAAGAUGAAAAGCACUUUGAAAAGAGGGUUAAAUAGCACGUGAAAUUGUUGAAAGGGAAGCGCUCGUGACCAGACUUGCGCCGGGGCGAUCAUCGGGCGUUCUCGCCCGUGCACUCGCCCCGGCGCAGGCCAGCGUCGGUUCGCGCAGGCGGAUAAAGGCGCCAGGCACGUAGCUCCCCCGGGAGUGUUAUAGCCUGGCGUGUCAUGCGCCCGCGCGGACCGAGGUACGCGCCCUGCAAGGACGCUGGCGUAAUGGUCUCCAGCGACCCGUCUUGAAACACGGACCAAGGAGUCGAGGUUCUGCGCGAGUAUUUGGGUGACAAACCCGCAUGCGCAAUGAAAGUGAACGCUGGUGGGAGCUUAGGCGCACCACCGACCGAUCCUGAUGUUCUCGGAUGGAUUUGAGUAGGAGCGUAGGGCCUCGGACCCGAAAGAUGGUGAACUAUGCUUGGAUAGGGUGAAGCCAGAGGAAACUCUGGUGGAGGCUCGCAGCGGUUCUGACGUGCAAAUCGAUCGUCAAAUCUGAGCAUGGGGGCGAAAGACUAAUCGAACCAU